rnacentral:misc_RNA from 1 species
AAAAGUAUAAGAAAGUAACCAAAAACAGAGAAAUUAAUCAAAAUAUUUGAAAGAAAUAAAGGUAGAAAUUGACAACCAAAAAUCUAUACCCAAUCCAUUGUCAUAAAAGACUAAUAGAAGUUGUAGCCCUUUUAUGCAAAAAAGAAAAGAAAAAGAACUAAAAGAUGUAAGACUUUUUCUGGUUCUAGCAGACAGACCUCUCGAGGCAUGAGCGUCUUGGG